AGCGAUCAGCCCUUCCUCCGCUUUUAAAACCUUUCACCUGAUUAACUUGUUUCAUGAACACUUUAACCUCCGUUUUUUUCCCUUACAUUCAUACCUUUACAACUUUAUACCGUAUGGACGCAUUUUAAUCCCAGAGUAGAUAAGGUCUCCAGUCUACUAUGGAUGAGGAGAAAGAGGAAGGGGGUCCUACCUCUAAGACCACUCUGUCUGGGGAACAUGGCCGCCAGAGCAAAGCUAAGAGCCCAGAGCAGCAGGAGAGAGCAGACUCCCCUGGACCCAGCUGUGUCUCCAUGAAGAGUGAUCACUAUAUGGGUGGGGAAGGAGUUUCAAUCAGAAGUCGCCUACGUGCCACUGAUGCUGCCCCUGAUGACACAGUCCUGGCCAUUCUCUGAGGCGCACACAGCUGUUUCACAAGCUCCAGAAUAAAUUUCUUCUUGGUCAUGUUGACGUCAAUGCACUGUUUGUACAGAAUGUGUGCUUUGAUUGCAGCCAGGUCUAGGAUGUUGUAGAACACAGCUACAGGCCAAUGCCUGGUCCCUCCCUUUACUGAAUACAAGCCUGCCAUCUGGUCCAUAACAUCAACGCCAUAUUUAGUACUUUUGUAGUGGGAAACAGUUUCGGGCAUUUUCUUGGGGCCAUUGUCAAUUGAAACUGUCUGGUGCAUUGUGCUGAGGAGGCUGACGUUUUUGCGUGGUUUUCCCUGGUAAAUGGUGAGUGUGGCUUCCCCAGCCCUCAGCACCUUGGAGGAGAAUCUUUCCAUCUGUGCCUUUGUACACGGGGCAUCUUUCGUCUGAUUCUAUUAAUUGUGCCAACAAUGGUGGCUCUGUGCGCCAAAAGAGUGUUUGCCAGUGGUAACGAGG
ensembl:lncRNA